AUUGCACGCUGUCGGCCGGCCUAACACAUGCAAGUCGAACGAGCGGCGGACGGGUGAGUAAUGUCUGGGAAACUGCCUGAUGGAGGGGGAUAACUACUGGAAACGGUCGCUAAUACCGCCUACCAUCGGAUGUGCCCAGAUGGGAUUAGCUUGUAGGGGGGGUAACGGCUCACCUAGGCGACGAUCCCUAGCUGGUCUGAGAGGAUGAUCAGCAACACUGGAACUGAGACACGGUCCAGAGUCCUACGGUAGGCAGCCGUGGGGACUAUUGCAGAAGGGGAGCGAGACGGAUGCAGCAAUGCCGCGUGUAUGAAGAAGGCCUUAGGGUUGGAAAGUACUUUCAGCGGGGAGGCGUUACCCGCAGAAGAAGCACCGGCUAACGCCGUGCCAGCAGAAGCGGUAAUAA
rnacentral:rRNA from 1 species